AAAAUCCCUGGUGUUUUAGAGUCGAGACUCUCAGUCUUGACCCGCUGCGUCGGUGACAGUUGAGAGUCCCUGCUCGAGCUUGAAUAAACGACCCUCAUGUGCUUGCAUCGGAAACGGCUUCCUGGUGGUCUUUGGGACUUCGCAAUCUGGGCACAACAGCCACAAUAUGGGCUGUUUCCCACUCACCACCACACUGAUUUUGGAUACAGCAAGGGAGGAGUCAUGAGGAAAUUUAAAACAGCAACAGAGACAUGGGAAUUAUAAGGAAAAGAACACAGAACACUACUAGCACAUGCUGGUGUCUGACCCGCGUAAAUCAUCUAUCAAAUGGGAACAUUUCCAUCUUGUGUACCGUAUGGUGAUAGAAAUUUGAGAUCGAACUCGGGACCUUGUGCUUUUAAGCUAGGCGGUGGCACCACUGAGCUAAAUCCCCCGCCCUGAUGUUCUGUAUUUUGCCACGAUGAAAUACAAAAGAUAAAGAGAGA
ensembl:lncRNA